rnacentral:rRNA from 1 species
GGAAUGGACCGGUUCCGAUUGGGUUGAGGUCCAGUUUUUCCGGUGUACCGGCUUUCAUCAUCGCAUCAGCAUAUUCUCCGUCGUGAAGAGGGAAACAACCCAGACCGCCAGCUAAGGUCCCAAAGUCAUGGUUAAGUGGGAAACGAUGUGGGAAGGCCCAGACAGCCAGGAUGUUGGCUUAGAAGCAGCCAUCAUUUAAAGAAAGCGUAAUAGCUCACUGGUCGAGUCGGCCUGCGCGGAAGAUGUAACGGGGCUAAACCAUGCACCGAAGCUGCGGCAGCGACGCUUAUGCGUUGUUGGGUAGGGGAGCGUUCUGUAAGCCUGUGAAGGUGUACUGUGAGGUAUGCUGGAGGUAUCAGAAGUGCGAAUGCUGACAUAAGUAACGAUAAAGCGGGUGAAAAGCCCGCUCGCCGGAAGACCAAGGGUUCCUGUCCAACGUUAAUCGGGGCAGGGUGAGUCGACCCCUAAGGCGAGGCCGAAAGGCGUAGUCGAUGGGAAACAGGUUAAUAUUCCUGUACUUGGUGUUACUGCGAAGGGGGGACGGAGAAGGCUAUGUUGGCCGGGCGACGGUUGUCCCGGUUUAAGCGUGUAGGCUGGUUUUCCAGGCAAAUCCGGAAAAUCAAGGCUGAGGCGUGAUGACGAGGCACUACAGUGCUGAAGCAACAAAUGCCCUGCUUCCAGGAAAAGCCUCUAAGCAUCAGGUAACAUCAAAUCGUACCCCAAACCGACACAGGUGGUCAGGUAGAGAAUACCAAGGCGCUUGAGAGAACUCGGGUGAAGGAACUAGGCAAAAUGGUGCCGUAACUUCGGGAGAAGGCACGCUGAUAUGUAGGUGAAGUCCCUCGCGGAUGGAGCUGAAAUCAGUCGAAGAUACCAGCUGGCUGCAACUGUUUAUUAAAAACACAGCACUGUGCAAACACGAAAGUGGACGUAUACGGUGUGACGCCUGCCCGGUGCCGGAAGGUUAAUUGAUGGGGUUAGCGCAAGCGAAGCUCUUGAUCGAAGCCCCGGUAAACGGCGGCCGUAACUAUAACGGUCCUAAGGUAGCGAAAUUCCUUGUCGGGUAAGUUCCGACCUGCACGAAUGGCGUAAUGAUGGCCAGGCUGUCUCCACCCGAGACUCAGUGAAAUUGAACUCGCUGUGAAGAUGCAGUGUACCCGCGGCAAGACGGAAAGACCCCGUGAACCUUUACUAUAGCUUGACACUGAACAUUGAGCCUUGAUGUGUAGGAUAGGUGGGAGGCUUGGAAGUGUGGACGCCAGUCUGCAUGGAGCCGACCUUGAAAUACCACCCUUUAAUGUUUGAUGUUCUAACGUUGACCCGUAAUCCGGGUUGCGGACAGUGUCUGGUGGGUAGUUUGACUGGGGCGGUCUCCUCCUAAAGAGUAACGGAGGAGCACGAAGGUUGGCUAAUCCUGGUCGGACAUCAGGAGGUUAGUGCAAUGGCAUAAGCCAGCUUGACUGCGAGCGUGACGGCGCGAGCAGGUGCGAAAGCAGGUCAUAGUGAUCCGGUGGUUCUGAAUGGAAGGGCCAUCGCUCAACGGAUAAAAGGUACUCCGGGGAUAACAGGCUGAUACCGCCCAAGAGUUCAUAUCGACGGCGGUGUUUGGCACCUCGAUGUCGGCUCAUCACAUCCUGGGGCUGAAGUAGGUCCCAAGGGUAUGGCUGUUCGCCAUUUAAAGUGSUAAAACACCGUUAGCGGGUCCAUUUAAAAAACCAAUAAUGUUUUUAUAUAUUUUACCCUGCAUUUCAGAAUGACUGGAAUUGUGUUUAUCUGAAUUUAACUGGCUUAAAACAGAAUUUCUCCAUUGUUCAUCAAUCCUGCACCCCGUAUACGUGACUGAAUGGUCGAGAAGUUUAUAAUUUUGCCGGACCCCGAGCCUUAAAUUACGAGUGUUUUUAGCUA